rnacentral:rRNA from 1 species
AUACGUAGGGGGCGAGCGUUGUCCGGAAUGAUUGGGCGUAAAGGGCGCGUAGGCGGCUUUGCAAGUCGGGCGUGAAAGUCCUGCUUUCAAGGUGGGAAUUGCUUUGGAUACUGCCGCGCUUGAGUGCAGGAGAGGUUAUCGGAAUUCCCGGUGUAGCGGUGAAAUGCGUAGAGAUCGGGAGGAACACCAGUGGCGAAGGCGGGUAACUGGACUGCAACUGACGCUGAGGCGCGAAAGUGUGGGGAGCAAACAGGAUUAGAUACCCUGGUAGUCCACACUGUAAACGAUGAAUGCUAGGUGUAAGAGGUAUCGACCCCUUUUGUGCCGGAGUCAACACAAUAAGCAUUCCGCCUGGGGAGUACGGCCGCAAGGUUGAAACUCAAAGGAAUUGACGGGG